AGGAUGGGAGCCCACUGGUAGCCCAGGAAAUCGAAGAUCUGCCGCUGGAGUGCAGCCACCUGCUGCAGGCAGCAG